GCGGACACGCGCUCGCCGGCCCCGCCCGGCCCCCGCAGGACUCGCUGGGGCUCAGCCCCCGAGUUGCACGCUUUCUGAAUCCCUCUUAAACAGUAUUAAUGUCAUAAAGGGUGCAAUAAAAAGAACAAAGGACAAAUUGGCUCAAUUGUUUUAGUCCUGCGUGAUGUUUAAAAACGCCCCGCUUCAGCGUAUGGCUUGUUAUUGCUUCAAGAUGUCUUAAAGGCCCUUUCGGUUCACUCUUCUCACUUUGAUGCUUCACCCAGGCAUGGUGCUGCUUGAAACGUAGAGUGCUGAGAAGACCAGUGCAUCUUAAAGAAGAUCCCAAGAAGAUUCAGGAGGAGGCAGGAAAGGUCUCCAUGAGGAUUUAUUACCAUGUCCCAGGAGAGAUGAUUUAGGUAGAAUCUUAUUUAUUUUGCUUCCCCUGUGUCCUCUUCCCCUUCAGAUAUCUCAAGAUGUUCCCUGUUCUGGUGACUUUGAAAGUACUUUGCCAAAAAUUCAGUCUUCGGGACUUGGUUUUGAUUAGAUGGUAGUGCUAGCAAAUGAGUAGCGCCAUUUGGACGAGAACAUUUGGCACAUUUCUGAAAGUAUUUUCCUUUACUCUCUUCUGUACUUCAAGCAACACUUAGAGCCUUACAAAAAAAAAAAAAAAAAAGAAAGAAAGAAAGAAAGAAAAGAAAAGAAAGGAAAAGAAAAGAAAAGAAAAGAAAAGAAAAGAAAAGAAAAGAAAAGAAAAGAAAAGAAAAGAAAAGGAAAAAGAAAAAGCCCAGGUAAUUUAAUCUAGACCAUUUGGUACAGAUGACCUGACGAAGAUGCAUUAUCUAAUUCAGACACAGUGAUUGCUAUGUCUGAUGCCCUCCUAAUAACACUGUUGAUUAUGUUGUUUUAAGUCUAGAUAACAGCCUUCCUGUUGCAUAGUCUCUAAAAACUAGAGAAGGAAAGCACAGUUUGUUUACCUUAUUUUAAAGAAAAUAUUUCUUGUAUUACUGUUUUUUUAAAUGAGUAUAAUUCAGAUUUUCCUUUUGAAUCCAAGAAAGAAACAUUACAAAAAAAGUUUUAAAAAUUGUUUUUAUCCUCAAGAAUUCUCCCUCUUCAGCUUCCCUGUGAAAUUUAUGUUUCUAGAUAGCUUGAACUCCAGUAAGUUGUUUGUAAGCUAAUUAGGGUAGGGGCUUUAUCUUUUUACAGCUCCUGUUACAACUCUUUAUAUUUAACAGACAGUUGUAUAUUAUUCCAACAAUGAAUUGCCUUGACCAUAUAAAUAAUGUGUUUCUCAUUGGAACUUAUUUAUCUACAUAAGAAUGCCAAUACUCUGAUUUAUAGAGUAUUGAUUUGCAUUUUUAUAUUUUAUACCUUAUUCAUAUUAUUUUGCUUUAGUAUCUCUGAAUUGUAUUCCUGAAAAUGCAAGCUUUGCUCAAGAUAGUGUUUGUUAUUAGAGCCUAAUUUUUCAGGGAAAAAAUUAUAAUUAAAUAUUAUAUUUAAAAUAUUGUAAUUAAAAGUUCCAUUCAAAUAUAUCCUCUUUAUAUCACAUAAAAAUGGAAAGAAAAUUAGACUGGGGGGUUAAAUAAGAAAUGUCCACAAAAAUAGUCAAAGAUGAUGACAUCCGUGCUUAUGUGUAACGUUAGGUCCCUCCUUCUCCAGUUAUCUUUAUUUAUCAUUAUUGCUUGGAUCCAAUUCAAUGAAAAGAAACAUAGUAAGAUUUUUAAAGGUCAUUUGAAGAUGGGAUCACAUGGCCAGAAAGCAAUGUGAGGAAUAUCACACUCAUUUUUCCUAAAGGCUUUGCCUUGGAGCAAGAAAAAAGGCUUCCUUACACUGACUGGCUCAUGUUUCGUAUCAGGGGAAUCCAAAAAAAUCACUGACUGUAAACAAUGACAACAACAACACAAAAAGUAAUUAAUUUUGUACAGUAUUUCUUUUCCUUGUGGUUGGACAUACUCUAGCUGUUUGCUGAGCCCACAGAGGCAGGGAUCAAAAGAAUUUCCGCAUCCUGCUGCUGAUUUGGUUAUCUGAGAUGUGAAGACUAGAAAUCUGAGAUCAAGGCUCUGCCAAACUGGUUCCUUGUUAGGACCGCGAGGGAAGGAUCUGUUCCGGGGCCUGUCUCCUUGGUUGGUGGAUGUCCGUCUCUCCUUGUGCCUUCACGUUAUCUUCUCUUUACACUUUUAAUGGUAAAGAUGCUUUCCAGGAUCUAUUAAAUCAAUUUUGUGACCCACUAAUGAAACCCUAUGCAAGUAUUUUAAUUCCUUCUAAAGAAUGUCUUGUCUGGCCAUUACAACAUUCCUGGGAUCCAGAAGUGUGAAGAUAAGCAUACACAAGUAUGAAGUUUUGGAGAACUGAAGAGGUUCUAAUUCCCAUAGUGUGUAUUGAUCACUUGCUCCCCUCCAGCCCUGUUUUGAGCACUUGGAUUUCAGAGAACAAAACAGAUCCUCUUUUCUAUCUUCGUAGUGCUGACCUGCCAGCGUGGAAGAGACAUGAAAUGAGCUAUGUGAUUGCAAAUCUGGGAUAACUUCUAAGGAAAAAAAAGUACAAGAUGCUUUGAAAGCUUGAAAUCAUAGCACAUGACUUGGGCUGGGAGGUCAGGGAAGUGAUUUUUAAGCUGUGUAGAAGUGAACUCAGUGAAAGAGGGGUGGGAGAAGGAGCAUUCAAGUAGAAGAAACAGAGUUGCAAAGGUCGCUGAGUGGGAGAGAGAAUACCUGAGUGUCUGGUGUGGCUGAGCCAGUGGGGAGGAGAAGCUUAGCUGAACAGAAGAGGUGGGCGGGGUCUGGCCAGGUAGCUCUAGGUGAGCACAGGUGUUAAGGGGUUGGACCUUUAGCCCAAGAGCAAAGGGGAACCCUGAGAGGGGCAUCAACUGGGGGAUGUUGAAAUGAAAAGAUAGCUCAGGCUUCAGUGCAGAUAUGGGAUUAAGGAGUCUCACAGAGCAGCUAUGGGGGUGUCAGAUAGGAGGGUGUGCAGAGCUCAAAGCUCUGGGUAGGUUAGAGAAAUCGUGAGGACAGGACAUAAAAUUGAGGUGAAUGCUUUUCUUUAGUUUCGGAUAAAUCGGUGACAGCUUGUAUGUAUAAAGUUUUUUUUUUAAAGAUUUUAUUUUUAUUUAAAAGAGAGAGAGAGAGUACUGGGAGAGGCAGAACGGGAGAGAGAAUUUCUAGCAGACUCCCCACUCAAAGCAGAGCCCAUCACUGGUCUCAAUCUCACCACCCAAGAUCAUGAUCUAAGCUGAAAUCAAGAGUCAAAUGCUCAACCAACUGAGCCACCCAGGUGCCCCUGUAUGUAUGAGGUUUUUGUUUGUUUCUAUGAACCAAAAUAUAACAAAGAUGCAUCUUGAAUUGUCAGAAUUCUUUGUGAUAUGUAUAUGAAUAUUAGUAAGAAGUGAACUGCCCAAUCCAUGAUGAUCUAGUAGCCCCUGGAUGGCUGCUGGGUCUUCAGGGGAUGCAAAUAAGGGAUCCUACCUGGAGGGCCUGGUACAGAUCACAGGAAGAUAAUAAAAGCAGCACAUGUGGUUGUGUGUACAUGCACGUACCCAAUCACAGAGCCCGGCCCUCACUCCUUUCUUAUCUUUCCUUCUAGCCCUGCUUCUUUCUUUCCACAUCUUCCUCUUAGCCUGCAGUUUAAGAUCAGUAGUUCUUGGGAUGCCUGGGUGGCUCAGUGGUUGAGUGUCUGCCUUUGGCUCAGGGCAUGAUCCUGGGGGCCUGGGAUCGAGUCUCACAUCAGGCUCCCUACUGUGAGCCUGCUUCUCUCUCUGCCUAUGUCUCUGCCUCUCUCUGUGUCUCUCAUGAAUAAAUUAAUAAAAUCUUAAAAAGAAAAAAGAUCAGUGAUUCUUAAUGUUCCUUGGGCCUUCUCCUGAGAAUAGUGUGCAGCCAAUACACACAGAAAAUGCCAUAUCAUGUAUCUGGAGCCCUGGGACCCCAGACUAAGAAUCUUUGACCUGCAGGGUUUGUAAAAUGGCAAUUUGUAGACAAAAAUAAAUAUAUUUAGCCAAUAAAUAUAUGAAAGAUGUCAAACUCACCAAAAAUCAAUUGAGCCAAUGCAAAGAUAACAUCUUUUUAUUUUUUAUUUUUUAAGUAGGCUCCAUGCCCAGUGUGGAACCCAAUGCGGGACUUGAGCUCAGGACACUGAGAUCAACACAUGGGCUGAAUCAAGAGUCUGACAUGUAACCCACUGAGCCACCCAGGUGCCUCAUGAGAUAACAUCUUUUAUUGAUCAGAUUGGUAAUGAUUCAAAAACUUGAUAAUACCCAGCUUGAACUGAACAGAAAACCAACAGCUUGGCUGUUGUGGGAGGAAAUGUGCACUCUUGUAUACUCAGGAUGUGCACAAAACAGCUUUUGAGAGAGCAACAAGGCAGUACCUUUCAAAAUUGUAAGUGCCUAGAUCCUGCAACCUAGUAAUUCCAUCCUAAGAAACUAUCUUUUAGGAAAACACGCAUACCUGUGGAAAUAAUCUAGGAUGUUCACCGCAACAAUGACUAGAAAAUUGGGAACUACCUAAAUGAUCACCCUGAGGGCAAUGGUUAAAUACCUUUGGGACAUACCCAGACCACAUCGUGGAAUACUAUGCUGUCCAAAAGAAUGAGGUCGAUUUGCACUGACAAUAUAGUAAGCGAUAAAGGCAUAUUGCAGGCCAAUAUAUAGGUAGCACAAUACAUUCUCUAUUAAAGAACUUACAAAAAUAUCUGUUAUUUAUAAACGCCUUUUUACAUAUUUAGAAAAUAAAUACAUGGAUGUACCUGAAAUUCAAAAUAGUGAUUUAACCCUGGGGAGUAGGAUUUGAUUGAGGGGAUGAGGGAGGGAAGUCUUGAAAUUUUCCUCUUUUAUUUUGUGCACUUCUAUACUGUUUGAAUUUGUUUUAACAAGCCUAUACUAUCUCAUCUUCAUUCUUUAAAAAAAAAAAUAAAGGUAGCAUAAGAAUUCUCCCCCCAAGUUUCUUUUCAACUGUACAGCUCUAAUUUUAGAAUUUGAGAUGGGAGAAAAAGCAAAGUGGAGAUGUACCCCAGUGUCCUCCCCUGGUUAAAAUAUUUCAGUGAUGUCCCAUGUGUUGGGGAUCAAGUCUAAACUCGUUGGGGUGCCUGGGUGGCUCAGUUGGUUAAGUGUCUGCCUUGGCUCAGGUCAUGAUCCUAGGAUCCUGAGAUCGAGCCCUGUAUGGAGCCCAGCACCCGGCUCUGCACUCAGUAGGGAGUCGGCUUGUCCCUCUGCCCUUUCCUCACUCAUGCUUGCUCUCUCUCAAAUAAAUGAUUUUAAAAUGUUAAAACAAACAAAGUCUAAACUCUUUAAUGUAGCACUGCAGGUUUUCCUAAAUUGGGCCACUUGCCUUCCCCUACAGUGUCUUCAGUGAUCCUCCAACUGGAUGCCUCUGCCCUCACUAGAACCCUCUAGGAUUUGGAUUCCGAGGAUUCUCUGUGAUUAUUGUUGCACAUUAAUUGUGCCCAGAUUGCUCACUUGCCUCUAAAGACAUCCUCAGCUGCCUAACAUUCAUUCUAUUCUUUGAGACUCAGUUUACUCAUCACCUCCUCCAGUAGAUCCAGCCCACUAGCCAGCUGCACCCUGGUCUGGGUAGGGUGCUGCUCCUAAAUGCUCCAUGUCCCCUAUAUUAUGUCAUUUAUUGUACCCUACUGCCUCUUUGUUUUAGUAUCUUGUUUCCCUCUAGGCAAGAACCUUCCUGAAGGCAGAAGCUGUGUUUUGUGUCACUGUAUGCCCAUUGCACAUCCCAAUGGCUGGCUACUGGAGACCCUUACCAAGUCCCUAUUGGAUCGUCCAAUGUUCGUAUCCCCUUUCCGGAAUCCACUCAUUGGCAGCCUCAAAGAAAUAUGGGAGAUCAAAUUUUAAAAUUCCUCACAAAUUACUUUUUUACAUAGAGCAAAUUUAAAAUUUAAAUCCACAAAAUCACAGCACUUUAGAACUGGAAAAGACUUAAGAGUUAUCUAGAGGAGUUAUCUUCGAUCAAAAAUCUGUGAACUAGGGGCGCCUGGGUGGUACCGUUGGUUAAGCCUCUAACUCUUGGUUUGGCUCAGGGCCCUGAGAUCCAGUCCCGAAUAGGGCUCUGCGCUAAGUGCAGAUUCGGCUUGAGAUUCUCUCUCCCUCUCCCUGCCCCUCCCAUUUGUGCUUUCUCUGUCUCUCUAAAAUAAAUAAAUUAACUAAGAAAAAAGAGUCUGUGAACUAGUACAACUUGUCAUAGGCAAAAUGAGAAAGGCAAAAUGAGAAAAAUAUGAGCAAUAGAGCAGAUUUAAAAAAAAAAUCAGGUUAGAUACAUUUGGUUUAAAUGAUGCUUUCUUAUUCAGAAAUUAUGUCUCCCUCCAUUUUUUUUUCUCUCCCUCCAUUUUAAGGUUAUUUAUGAAUUAUGUGCUUGUAGGGUUUUUUUUUUAGUUUAAUUGGUCUACUAAAUAAAAAAAUCUGGAAAUCCUGGCUCUUGUGUAUUUCACCUCAGAACUAAGACCCAGAGAGAUUAUCACUUUGUGCAUAGCCAACAAAGAAACAAAUGUUUCCGUCCAGAAUCCUUCUGCUGUUGUGUGUAAUGCAAUUGCGUAUGUAUACAAAUAUUAUAUAUGUUUGGUGUGAUUGGUUUUCUGUUCAGUAUUUUAAAUCCAGAAAUGCAACAGUCAGUUAACAUAUUUGUUGUAUUACAAUGGGAAACAGCCUUGCUCUUUGACAAGUGUCUAUAACCAUAUGGUAUUGCUGUCUGUUAGUAUUUGGUGAGGUUUUAAGAAAUGUCAGAGUCUUGAAAUGGUAUAUAUGCAAUAUUAUUAUUGACUUUGAUAUGGAAAUAAAGACUGUUUACUAUCAA